CACAGCCCCGCACGCAAACCCUAGCGCUAUCCCUUGCAGCCGCCUCCCACCGCCACUCUAGAUCCAGAUCUGCGUCCCUCUCCGCUCGCUGCCUCCCUCUCCGCUCGCCGCCGGUCUGCACCCUCCCCUCCCAUCCCUCUCCCCUACCUUUGCCGCCCAUCUUCGCCGCCGCGCAUCCACAGGAGCAACACGAGCGGCGCGCCAUGGGGUGGCACCGCCAACUUCUUCUCAUCAGCGCUCGCUGCGGAAUGGAAAUAAGGGGCCGGCUGUCGCCGCGCGCUGUUCCUGCGGGUUGUCGCUGCGGGGGCCGGCUGCAUCCUCCUCCCGCCCAUGGAGGAUGAUGAGGGCGAGGACGCGGAGGCCGGCGAGGGGGGAGGCGGUGGAGGGGUGUGCCCGCUCUGGUACGAGCUCACUCGUAUGUGAUCCCGGGCACCGGAGGGCCAGCGACAAGUCCGUGAAGGAGAAGCGCAAGAUCGUCAACGGAGGCGACCUAAUCUGGUCCAUUGGCGCUUCUCCCAGUGGCGGCACGAGGAGCUCAGCCGCAUCGUGGACGCCGCCGUGGAGCCCAACCUCGUCUCGAGGACCAACGACGGUUGGAGUGACUUAAUCGAGCGCUAUGAGGGCAUAAAUCAUGGUGAAUAUCUGAAACUGUUUGCGGAUAUCGCAACGUUGAGGCAUGAGAGUGACCACCUGGAGGCCAGCGUGAGGAGGCAGACAGGAGAAGACCUGCCGUCCGGCGCAACCGCGGCAGAGCUCCGCGGUCUGGAGCACAAGCUAGAGUGCAUGCUGGGAUAAACUGAUGGAGGAGCAGCUGGACGAAUCACACCACAGGGUGCACAUCCUGGAGGAGCAGAACAGCUUCCUUGGCCACAUGGCCUUCAAGUACAAGAGGCUUCUGCUUGACUAUAACAGCGUACAUGACCAACAAGUUCUGCUGAUGAGUAGCAUCUCUUAUUUAGCCAUUGUUUCAGCAAUUUUCACUUAAGCAGACAUGUGUUCUGGUUCUCAGUUCCUGCAUAGGCAUUGCUGAUAAGAUAAAGAAUAACAACUAUAUAAAUGGAGGUGGUUGGGUAGCAUGGAUUAUGCUGGACUGACUAAGCUUGAGUCCAAAUUUCCUUAAUUGUGAAUUCAGUUAGCCAUUGUUUGAGCAAAUCAUUUCUGCAUGCAUGUGUACUGGGGUUAGUACUAUCUACUAUGGUGAAUGCCAUCAAACAAUUAAGUUGCUUCAUUUGAUUGCCUGCUACAUCUCCACUUAAAUACUCAUAAUGCUACUGUCCAGAUCUUGUUCAACUGGACUGACUACAUAUCUCUUGUUAAAAUUGUGAUCUUGAUCUUUUGUUUAAACCUGAAACAUCAUGCAUAACUAGCUCUUCCUUUAGAGUCUAAACCUGAGACCUCUUUUGUUUUAUAUUCAGUUCUAUCACUGAUGGUCACACUGCUGUUUUGCUAUGCUUGAUAAACCUGAGACCUCUUUCUAUUCUUCUUCUUUAGGUCACACUGUUGUUUUGCUGUGGUUGAUAAACCUGAGACUUCUUUCUAUUAUUCAAGGCGGUUUUGUUUAGGCCAUCCAUGGAGCAGAAAGAACGGACAUUGCUACUUCAGCAAGAGGGAAGACCCAACGAGGCCAUGAUGCUUACCUUGCUCGAGCGCAUCAACCCCGACCAUGGCACCACAUUCACAGUCUUGAGGUAGCCGUGCUGCAACUACAUCAACGCUAUCUUCUCUGACUAGAUAAGUCUUCGGUGUAUCCCAUUAUUUUCUUUUGUUCUUUGGUCGAUGGGCCAUGAUGCCAUUGUGUUGAUUCCCUAUGUGAUGCAGAAGCUAUGGUGUUUUGUUUUAAGUCUGUUGUAAAUUGUAAUUGAUAAUGAUUUGUGUAAAAUUAGUGUAGAACAUAUGUCCUGUUAUCUUAAGUCAUUUGUGCAUGCUCAAUGAACCAUCUGAGAUUGAAUCAUUUUUUGCGUUCAACAUCUAGAACCAUUAUGUCUGUGUUGGUAUCAUGCUACAACUGUGCUUUCUUGUCUCUUGUGUUGUGUGGUCCUUGUGGUUGUUACUGUUACAUGUACAUAUGCUUCAUGAUUCGGUCCCUAGAUGCUUUGCAUGUUUGUUUUUAUUCUGUUUCUAACUCCUUUUGUUUAUUGUUAGAUGCCUUUGUUCAGCCUCUACAAACAAGAGCUCCAACCUGAAAGUGAAGAAAGCAGAAGUAUACUUGUAGAGCCUUUGUUCUAGAGCGCCAGGACAAAUUUGAAGUGCAAAGCCAUGAAGCCAAGUGCAAAGCCGGGAUGCCAGAGAUUUGUUUGUUCUGUUUGACUGUAAUAGGCUGUAGAGAUUGUGACAUUGUAACAAAUUUAGUGUUAUUUGAUAAAUUAUGUUUGUUUUGUUUUGUUUGAAAUAGUGAUUUAAAAAUUUGUCAAAUGUAAACCUGAUUAGUGGGAUCCACUUACCAAAAUAAUCUGAGCGAUGUUGAAGAUCUGAUGUGUGGGACCAAUAUAUGAGAUUAUGAUUU